AAUGCAAGUCGAACGAACUCUGGUAUUGAUUGGUGCUUGCAUCAUGAUUUACAUUUGAGUGAGUGGCGAACUGGUGAGUAACACGUGGGAAACCUGCCCAGAAGCGGGGGAUAACACCUGGAAACAGAUGCUAAUACCGCAUAACAACUUGGACCGCAUGGUCCGAGCUUGAAAGAUGGCUUCGGCUAUCACUUUUGGAUGGUCCCGCGGCGUAUUAGCUAGAUGGUGGGGUAACGGCUCACCAUGGCAAUGAUACGUAGCCGACCUGAGAGGGUAAUCGGCCACAUUGGGACUGAGACACGGCCCAAACUCCUACGGGAGGCAGCAGUAGGGAAUCUUCCACAAUGGACGAAAGUCUGAUGGAGCAACGCCGCGUGAGUGAAGAAGGGUUUCGGCUCGUAAAACUCUGUUGUUAAAGAAGAACAUAUCUGAGAGUAACUGUUCAGGUAUUGACGGUAUUUAACCAGAAAGCCACGGCUAACUACGUGCCAGCAGCCGCGGUAAUACGUAGGUGGCAAGCGUUGUCCGGAUUUAUUGGGCGUAAAGCGAGCGCAGGCGGUUUUUUAAGUCUGAUGUGAAAGCCUUCGGCUCAACCGAAGAAGUGCAUCGGAAACUGGGAAACUUGAGUGCAGAAGAGGACAGUGGAACUCCAUGUGUAGCGGUGAAAUGCGUAGAUAUAUGGAAGAACACCAGUGGCGAAGGCGGCUGUCUGGUCUGUAACUGACGCUGAGGCUCGAAAGUAUGGGUAGCAAACAGGAUUAGAUACCCUGGUAGUCCAUACCGUACACGAUGAAUGCUAAGUGUUGGAGGGUUUCCGCCCUUCAGUGCUGCAGCUAACGCAUUAAGCAUUCCGCCUGGCGAGUACGGCCGCAAGGCUGACACUCAAAGGAAUUGACGGGGGCCCGCACAAGCGGUGGAGCAUGUGGUUUAAUUCGAAGCUACGCGAAGAACCUUACCAGGUCUUGACAUACUAUGCAAAUCUAAGAGAUUAGACGUUCCCUUCGGGACAUGGAUACAGGUGGUGCAUGGUUGUCGUCAGCUCGUGUCGUGAGAAGAUGGGAUAAGUCCCGCACGAGCGCACCCUUAUUAUCAGUGGCCAGCAUAAGUUGGGCAUCCGUUGAGAAUGCCGCUGACAACCGGAGCAAGGGGGGAUGACGCCAAUCAUCUGCCCCUUAGGAC
rnacentral:rRNA from 1 species